rnacentral:rRNA from 1 species
CCUACGGGUGGCAGCAGUGAGGAAUAUUGGUCAAUGGGCGCGAGCCUGAACCAGCCAAGUCGCGUGAGGGAAGACGGUCCUAUGGAUUGUAAACCUCUUUUGUCGGGGAGCAAAAGACGCCACGCGUGGCGUUCCGAGAGUACCCGAAGAAAAAGCAUCGGCUAACUCCGUGCCAGCAGCCGCGGUAAUACGGAGGAUGCGAGCGUUAUCCGGAUUUAUGGGGUUUAAAGGGUGCGCAGGCGGAAGAGCAAGUCAGCGGUAAAAUUGAGGGGCUCAACCUCUUCGAGCCGUUGAAACUGGUUUUCUUGAGUGAGCGAGAAGUAGGCGGAAUGCGUGGUGUAGCAGUGAAAUGCAUAGAUAUCACGCAGAACUCCGAUUGCGAAGGCAGCAUACCGGCGCUCAACUGACGCUCAUGCACGAAAGUGUGGGUAUCGAACAGGAUUAGAUACCCGGGUAGUC